GAUACCUCAACAUCAUUGAAAGAAAAAACAAAGGAGACAAAAGAUAAGCGCAAAUCAAUUGCUUAUAAGCUACUUUCUGACAUCCAGGUCUUACUACUGGACUCUUAACCAAUAUUCGAGGUAACUGAAUAUUAAUAAAAGUCCCCUUUCUUUAUAUUUUCACGGUAUACUCGUGUUACAAUACGACAUCCACCCCCUCUGAACUUGUGCAUCCUCCGGUAUGUACCAAUUUAUCCAAUUGCUAUUUGAUUUAGAAUAUAUCCUCUACGUCUUUAUCCAGUUCGUCUUCGUCACCUUCAUUAUCCAAAUCACUUUCAUCUUCUUGCUGCAGAAU
rnacentral:lncRNA from 1 species